rnacentral:rRNA from 1 species
CGGACUGUAGGCUGCAACUCGCCUACACGAAGUCGGAAUCGCUAGUAAUCGCGGAUCAGCAUGCCGCGGUGAAUACGUUCCCGGGCCUUGUACACACCGCCCGUCACACCAUGGAGUUUGUAACGCCCAAAGUCGGCGGCCUAACCUUUAUGGAGGGAGCCGCCUAAGGCGGGACAGAUGACUGGGGUGAAGUCGUAACAAGGUAUC